ACAGAGGAAUUCAAAAUUUUUGAAAAAUGA
rnacentral:piRNA from 1 species